UAUGAAACCCAUUUGAGCGAGAGUAGUACUAGGAUGGGUGACCUCCUAGGAAGUCCUCGUGAAAGGGUUUCAUAU
rfam:Triticum aestivum genome assembly, contig: Triticum_aestivum_CS42_TGACv1_scaffold_344107_4DL